rnacentral:rRNA from 1 species
GAUGAACGCUGGCGGCGUGCCUAAUACAUGCAAGUCGAGCGAACAGACGAGGAGCUUGCUCCUCUGACGUUAGCGGCGGACGGGUGAGUAACACGUGGAUAACCUACCUAUAAGACUGGGAUAACUUCGGGAAACCGGAGCUAAUACCGGAUAACAUGUUGAACCGCAUGGUUCAACAGUGAAAGACGGUCUUGCUGUCACUUAUAGAUGGAUCCGCGCCGCAUUAGCUAGUUGGUAAGGUAACGGCUUACCAAGGCAACGAUGCGUAGCCGACCUGAGAGGGUGAUCGGCCACACUGGAACUGAGACACGGUCCAGACUCCUACGGGAGGCAGCAGCAGGGAAUCUUCCGCAAUGGGCGAAAGCCUGACGGAGCAACGCCGCGUGAGUGAUGAAGGUCUUCGGAUCGUAAAACUCUGUUAUUAGGGAAGAACAAAUGUGUAAGUAACUAUGCACGUCUUGACGGUACCUAAUCAGAAAGCCACGGCUAACUACGUG